rnacentral:rRNA from 1 species
UACGGAGGGGGUUAGCGUUGUUCGGAAUUACUGGGCGUAAAGCGCGCGUAGGCGGGUUGUUAAGUUAGAGGUGAAAUCCCGGGGCUCAACCCCGGAACUGCCUUUAAUACUGGCAACCUAGAGCUCGAGAGAGGUGAGUGGAAUUCCGAGUGUAGAGGUGAAAUUCGUAGAUAUUCGGAGGAACACCAGUGGCGAAGGCGGCUCACUGGCUCGAUACUGACGCUGAGGUGACGAAAGUGUGGACGAGCAAACGGAUUAGACUACCCCGGUACGUCC